AAGGCUGCCUUCUGCCAUGAGGACACAUUGAUAUAAAAGUUUGAGAGGUACUGGUGCACUUCUUCCCAGUAACAGACGUGUGAAGAUGUACGACUCUAAACCACAUGACAUACAGCUCCUGCCUACUUCAUGUUCACUUUUCUACCUCUGCCUCUGGAUUUGGUGCCUGGCAAAACCCCAGAGCUUAGAGUGGGAAGACUGAGUUUCCAAGUUCCAGUAUCGCCUUUUUCUUUUUCUUUUUUUCUAGCCAUGAUGUCGAUCCCUCUCAGUCCCUAAAUGAUUGUGACACCUUAUAGAGUUGUUGGUGUCAUUAAAUCAGAUGGUAUAUAAGAGUAUUUUAUAAAAACUAUAAAGGAGGAUGUGGCUGUAGGGGCUGAUAGUUCUCAUGAGUAUUACUGCUCUUCUUUCCCACAGUUCAAAGAAUAUUGGCAGAGAAACCGCCCUGGUGUUCCAGCAGCAGCGAAGAGGAACAGGAAAGCAAAUGGCAGUAGCCCUGAGGCAGCCGCUUCUGGUGGUUGCCACUCAUCUGAGGCUUACAUGGCCUGCUGUCAACACCCAGGACACCCAGGAUAUGGUCUUUGCUGUUUGAUUUUCCUCAUCCCCAGUCUCAAGGGGAAGCCAGGACAAUGAGAACAGCCACUUCCCAUCAGGAGUCACUGCAAGGGCCCCAGGGUGGGAUGGUGGGGAGAUAAGAACCAUGAGAGAAGUUGGCACAAAUGAGUUAUGGGACAAAGGGUCCAAGAUAGGCAGAAAAGAAAAUGUUGCCAGUUGAUGGGGAAGAAAGGAAGUCGGAGGGCUCAGACACUGAGGGGGACAGAACGUCUCCAUGUGCACUCUCAUCUCUUAUAGUCAGCAACAGGUAUCCAUGGGGAGGGCCCUACAUCAUCUGCUACCCUGAAGGAUCUGGAGGUAGGAGGCUCUGGGCGGAGGUGCAGUGACCCCGCAGGCCAGCCCUCCAACCUCCUCCCGCAGCGGAGACUGGGUGCCCCUCUGCCAGCUGAGACAGCCCACACACAACCCAGCCCUAAUGAUCGUUCUCUCUACCUCUCC
rnacentral:lncRNA from 1 species